rnacentral:rRNA from 1 species
ACAUGCAAGUCGAACGGGAUCCAUUGGUGCUUGCACUUUUGGUGAGAGUGGCGAACGGGUGAGUAACACGUGAGUAACCUGCCCUUUUCUUUGGGAUAAGCCUGGGAAACUGGGUCUAAUAMUGGAUGUUCCGGCUUCCUCGCAUGGGGUUGUUGGGAAAGGUUUUUUYUGGAUUGGGAUGGGCYCGCGGCUUAUCAGCUUGUUGGUGGGGUGAUGGCUUACCAAGGCUUUGACGGGUAGCCGGCCUGAGAGGGUGGUCGGUCACACUGGGACUKAGAUACGGCCCAGACUCCUACGGGAGGCAGCAGUGGGGGAUAUUGCACAAUGGACGCAAGUCUGAUGCAGCGACGUCGUGUGGGGGAUGAAGGCCUUCGGGUUGUAAACUCCUUUCGCCUGCGGAAAAGGCAGGGUUUUGGCCUUGUUGAUGGUAGUGGG